rnacentral:rRNA from 1 species
CAGUCGCCACGGUAAUACGUAGGGUGCGAGCGUUAAUCGGAAUUACUGGGCGUAAAGCGUGCGCAGGCGGUUUUGUAAGACAGAGGUGAAAUCCCCGGGCUCAACCUGGGAACUGCCUUUGUGACUGCAAGGCUAGAGUACGGCAGAGGGGGAUGGAAUUCCGCGUGUAGCAUUGAAAUGCGUAGAUAUGCGGAGGAACACCGAUGGCGAAGGCAAUCCCCUGGGCCUGUACUGACGCUCAUGCACGAAAGCGUGGGGAGCAAACAGGAUUAGAUACCCCUGUAGUCCCUGUCUCUUAUAC